CGAACGUGGGGAACCGUGCCCCAUAGUCUGGGAUACCACUUGGAACAGGUGCUAAUACCGGAUAAGAAAGCGGAUCGCAUGAUCAGCUUUUAAAAGGCGGCGUAAGCUGUCGCUAUGGGAUGGCCCCGCGGUGCAUUAGCUAGUUGGUAAGGUAAAGGCUUACCAAGGCGAUGAUGCAUAGCCGAGUUGAGAGACUGAUCGGCCACAUUGGGACUGAGACACGGCCCAAACUCCUACGGGAGGCAGCAGCG
rnacentral:rRNA from 1 species